CAAGUCAUGCUUAGGGCUAACCUUUAUUUACAUUAAAGGUUUAUUUGUGCAAUUCAAAUUGACUUGA
rnacentral:tRNA from 1 species